rnacentral:rRNA from 1 species
UACGGAGGGUGCAAGCGUUGUCCGGAUUUACUGGGUGUAAAGGGCGCGUAGGCGGGGAAGUGUGUCGGAAGUGAAAUCGUGCGGCUUAACCGUAUCAAUGGCUUCCGAAACUGUUUCUCUUGAGUGCGGAAGGGGCAGAUGGAAUUCCUGGUGUAGCGGUGGAAUGCGUAGAUAUCAGGAAGAACACCGGUGGCGAAGGCGGUCUGCUGGUCCGCAACUGACGCUGAGGCGCGAAAGUGUGGGGAGCAAACAGG